UACGUAGGGUGCGAGCGUUGUCCGGAAUUAUUGGGCGUAAAGGGCUCGUAGGCGGUUUGUCACGUCAGGAGUGAAAACUCGGGGCUCAACCCCGAGCCUGCUUCUGAUACGGGCAGACUAGAGGUAUGCAGGGGAGAACGGAAUUCCUGGUGUAGCGGUGAAAUGCGCAGAUAUCAGGAGGAACACCGGUGGCGAAGGCGGUUCUCUGGGCAUGACCUGACGCUGAGGAGCGAAAGUGUGGGGAGCGAACAGG
rnacentral:rRNA from 1 species